GGUGUGGUACUUUAAUGAAAAGGUUAAGUUUGCGUCUUAAAAUUAGAUUUUGAUCUUUACACUU
rnacentral:tRNA from 1 species